UGCGCUAAUAGAUGAGCCUAAGUCAGAUUAGCUAGUUGGUGGGGUAAAGGCCUACCAAGGCGACGAUCUGUAGCGGGUCUGAGAGGAUGAUCCGCCACACUGGGACUGAGACACGGCCCAGACUCCUACGGGAGGCAGCAGUGGGGAAUAUUGGACAAUGGGCGAAAGCCUGAUCCAGCCAUGCCGCGUGUGUGAAGAAGGCCUUUUGGUUGUAAAGCACUUUAAGCGAGGAGGAGGCUACUUGGAUUAAUACUCUAGGAUAGUGGACGUUACUCGCAGAAUAAGCACCGGCUAACUCUGUGCCAGCAGCCGCGGUAAUACAGAGGGUGCGAGCGUUAAUCGGAUUUACUGGGCGUAAAGCGUGCGUAGGCGGCUUCUUAAGUCGGAUGUGAAAUCCCUGAGCUUAACUUAGGAAUUGCAUUCGAUACUGGGAAGCUAGAGUAUGGGAGAGGAUGGUAGAAUUCCAGGUGUAGCGGUGAAAUGCGUAGAGAUCUGGAGGAAUACCGAUGGCGAAGGCAGCCAUCUGGCCUAAUACUGACGCUGAGGUACGAAAGCAUGGGGAGCAAACAGGAUUAGAUACCCUGGUAGUCCAUGCCGUAAACGAUGUCUACU
rnacentral:rRNA from 1 species